UAGUACUCCUCACAAUGGCUGCAAUGUUCUGUUGGCAAACCCAAUAUACAGUAUAACACAAAAAAUGUUCACGUUUUACGGAAAGGAAACUACUAUGAAACCGUCCGUUUUACGAUUAAAAUCGUGUUUUUACCGUUACCGUUUUGUUUACGUUUAAACGAUAGCAGGACGAAUACGGAACGAUUAGAUUACGGUGCAAUUGCAGGUGAUAACACGUGUACCUGUUAAAGCAAAGGCGCUCGAGGAAGAAACUCGCUUGCGAGAGAAGGAGAAGAAGAAGCAAAAAAGGUCCCAUGCUUUGAUCUUAAUUGAACCAAACAAAGGACCAACCGCAAUUGAUAUUGGCUCAUUUCCCGAUUGACAACUCAUUAGCUUUGGUGAAAAAAAGCUCAUUUAUUGACAAAAAUGCUGUGAUCAGUAUUGGAUCAGAGCAUCAAGUCAAGGAAGGAAGUAAAGUAUAUACUGCUAAAAUAAUUGAGAUAGGAGAUGAUGAAGCAAUUAAAAUAGCUGAAGACAAAUUUUAUGCUGCUGAUGAUGAGAAUGAGGUGUCAAAAGAAAGUUAUAAUAAUCAAAGAACACUUUGUCAAGAUGCUUCAAUCAUAAAAGUAGAGAAGAAUAGUUGCUCGGUUGUACAUGAAUCUGCAUUUGCUAAAGCGAGGAUGGCAUUGGAUAAAAAAGGAAACAAAAAGCAGCAGCAACA